rnacentral:misc_RNA from 1 species
CGAGAGUGUCACCACUCCCAACCCAUUGUUUACCUACCCGUCCACCGUGCUUCGGCAGGCAGCCCUGUGGGACAGAGCCUCGCCCCCUUCGCGGGGGGUGCCUGCCGCUGGCCAACCAACAAACUCUAGCUGUUUUAGUACCAUCUGAGUCUUCCACAAAUGAACA